rnacentral:rRNA from 1 species
UUGAACGCUGGCGGCAGGCCUAACACAUGCAAGUCGAACGGUAACAGGAAGCAGCUUGCUGCUUCGCUGACGAGUGGCGGACGGGUGAGUAAUGUCUGGGAAACUGCCUGAUGGAGGGGGAUAACUACUGGAAACGGUAGCUAAUACCUCAUAACGUCGCAAGACCAAAGAGGGGGACCUUAGGGCCUCUUGCCAUCGGAUGUGCCCAGAUGGGAUUAGCUAGUAGGUGGGGUAACGGCUCACCUAGGCGACGAUCCCUAGCUGGUCUGAGAGGAUGACCAGCCACACUGGAACUGAGACACGGUCCAGACUCCUACGGGAGGCAGCAGUGGGGAAUAUUGCACAAUGGGCGCAAGCCUGAUGCAGCCAUGCCGCGUGUAUGAAGAAGGCCUUCGGGUUGUAAAGUACUUUCAGCGGGGAGGAAGGGAGUAAAGUUAAUACCUUUGCUCAUUGACGUUACCCGCAGAAGAAGCACCGGCUAACUCCGUG